GGGCUCGUGGUGAAAUGGCAGACACGCAAGACUUAAAAUCUUGUUCCUUCGGGAGUGUGGGUUCAAGUCCCACCGAGCCCA
rnacentral:tRNA from 1 species